rnacentral:lncRNA from 1 species
GGGGGAAUGAGUUUUGUGUUUAUCUUUCUUUUCAGACUGCUAGGCAUGCAUUUUGUUGAAAUAAUGUAUGGUUUUAAUGAAAUAAUAACUACUGAAAAGGAGACGUGUGGCACGUAUUAAUGAGCAAUUACUGCGUGGUUUAAGCAGUUUAAUUGGAGUAUGACUUUUUGCAUUGGAAAGAAGUACCAUGACUACUGACUAGGGUCCAAAAAAGCUGGAGGGAG